rnacentral:lncRNA from 1 species
UGGUUAUUAAUCAUUGCAACUUUUAAUUCGGAGUUAUGAAAAUUGGAAAAUCAUAAUUAAAAACAUAUAUGUUGAAGAGAAAAAAAGAGAGAAAAAUAUACAUUUUCAAUUAAUCAUCAAAGAUUUUGAAGAAACACAUCAAACACGGUAAAUUUUGUUUGUUAUUCAUGUAUCUUAGUCAAAAAAAUAAGACUUUGAUUGUUUUACCUUGCAAAGAGAUUUCAUGUAGCAUAAGGCUUAGAAUAUAGUCAGAUAUUCUGUUAUUUUCAAUAUUUUAGAUAACUUAGAUAAACGUAUAAUAAACAUAUAUUUUAUUUGGUACUGACAUGUUUGUAAUUUUAUUACAGAAAACCUAAAAAUAUAAUACAGAUUUUUAGUAUAUUCAAU